AUCUAGCUCAGAUUGAACGCUGGCGGCAUGCCUUACACAUGCAAGUCGAACGGUAACAGGUCUUCGGAUGCUGACGAGUGGCGAACGGGUGAGUAAUACAUCGGAACGUGCCUAGUAGUGGGGGAUAACUACUCGAAAGAGUAGCUAAUACCGCAUGAGAUCUACGGAUGAAAGCAGGGGAUCGCAAGACCUUGUGCUACUAGAGCGGCUGAUGGCAGAUUAGGUAGUUGGUGGGAUAAAAGCUUACCAAGCCGACGAUCUGUAGCUGGUCUGAGAGGACGAUCAGCCACACUGGGACUGAGACACGGCCCAGACUCCUACGGGAGGCAGCAGUGGGGAAUUUUGGACAAUGGGCGAAAGCCUGAUCCAGCAAUGCCGCGUGCAGGAUGAAGGCCUUCGGGUUGUAAACUGCUUUUGUACGGAACGAAAAGCUUUGGGUUAAUACCCUGGAGUCAUGACGGUACCGUAAGAAUAAGCACCGGCUAACUACGUGCCAGCAGCUGC
rnacentral:rRNA from 1 species